rnacentral:rRNA from 1 species
AUUGAACGCUAGCGGGAUGCUUUACACAUGCAAGUCGAACGGCAGCACGAGGAGCUUGCUCCUUGGUGGCGAGUGGCGAACGGGUGAGUAAUAUAUCGGAACAUGCCCAGUAGCGGGGGAUAACUACUCGAAAGAGUGGCUAAUACCGCAUACGUCCUACGGGAGAAAGCAGGGGACCUUCGGGCCUUGCACUAUUGGAGUGGCCGAUAUCGGAUUAGCUAGUUGGUGGGGUAAAGGCCUACCAAGGCGACGAUCCGUAGCUGGUUUGAGAGGACGACCAGCCACACUGGGACUGAGACACGGCCCAGACUCCUACGGGAGGCAGCAGUGGGGAAUUUUGGACAAUGGGGGAAACCCUGAUCCAGCCAUCCCGCGUGUGCGAUGAAGGCCUUCGGGUUGUAAAGCACUUUUGUCAGGAAAGAAAUCGCCCGGGAUAAUACCUCGGGUGGAUGACGGUACCUGAAGAAUAAGCACCGGCUAACUACGUGCCAGCAGCCGCGGUAAU